UACGGAGGGUGCAAGCGUUAUCCGGAUUCACUGGGUUUAAAGGGUGCGUAGGCGGGUAUAUAAGUCAGUGGUGAAAGCUCCGGGCUUAACUUGGAACUGCCAUUGAUACUGUAUAUCUUGAAUGUCGUUGAGGUAAGCGGAAUGUUGCAUGUAGCGGUGAAAUGCUUAGAUAUGUUACAGAACACCAAUUGUGAAGACAGCUUACUAAGCGAUAAUUGACGCUGAGGCACGAAAGCGUGGGGAGCAAACAGG
rnacentral:rRNA from 1 species